CAGACAUUGUGGUUCAAUGCCGCCAUAUCGCACCCUGGCAUAUAAAUAACCGGUGUGCAACAUGAAGGAACAAGCCCAAAUAAAUCCUUUGGAUAGAAAAAGCAAGCUGAUUUGGGGAAGGCAGCUGCUUCAAAGUUUCUGUGCAACUUUACAGAAGUACAAGAGCUAAGAAGCAAUAACAACACACACCGUGUUUUGGCUGAUAAAAGCACCGCCGUCACUUGGAGAAGCUCUUGGUCUGCUGUUCUUACAGUGCCUUGGAUAGUGCGGUCAGAAGGGGCAGGCGAUGGCACCAUGACCCCACUGCAGCCUGCCCAGACAUCCUGUAAUGAGUCUGUCAGUCUGUCCUCAGCCAAGAAAUGCAUCUUCACAUCCUAUGUGACGAAUUUGCUAGAAGGUGAAUGCAAUAUAACCCUUGGCAGAUUCUUCCUGGUAUAAAUGAGGUCUUAUUUUGAGGAAUCAUGAUUAAAUUGAAUCAAGAACAGUCACCUUUCUGAUUAUAAGCUGAAGGUAGUCUCUGAUUUAUUUCUCAUGAUGCAUUUGGUCAUGUUCUGUUGUCUUUGCAAAUCUGUAUUUUUAUCGCAGUGACAUGUUCCUCAGGUUUAGGUUACAUUUCUAAUAAAUAUCCGAUGCCUUGUUGAUUUCCUGUAUCA
rnacentral:lncRNA from 1 species